rnacentral:rRNA from 1 species
UACGAAGGGGGCUAGCGUUACUCGGAUUGACUGGGCGUAAAGGGCGCGUAGGCGGCUUGUACAGUCAGGCGUGAAAUUCCUGGGCUUAACCUGGGGGCUGCGUUUGAUACGUGGUUGCUAGAGUGGGGAAGAGGGUCGUGGAAUUCCCAGUGUAGAGGUGAAAUUCGUAGAUAUUGGGAAGAACACCGGUGGCGAAGGCGGCGACCUGGUCCUUGACUGACGCUGAGGCGCGAAAGCGUGGGGAGCAAACAGG